UUCGGGGCCUCGCGCACCCUGCACAAGGGCUUGAGCCCCGCAGAGCUCCCUGGGCCUAAAGCUUUGCGUCCCCCUGCACGGGCGCGCCGCACACUACGGCCCGGUCUUCCUACCCUGCUGCGCCGUCGGCUGGGGGGCGCCGGGUAAUGAAGAUCGAGGCCUAAGCGACCUCGGUGGUGAGCACAAGGAGGCAGGCCCGGGCUGUGCUCGCUCACGUCCGUGUCCUGCGGCCCUCCCGGAUGGCGUUGCUCGUUGCGGGGAAAGUCAGCGCCGCUAGGACCCGGCGCUAUCCCCGGGCGCGUACUUCAAAUAACAGGCAGAGGAGUCUUCUGCUGCCCGAAUUGCUCUUUUCUGUGUCUGAGGGAAUGAAGGUGAGGCGAGCCAGACUCUCCGGGCUCUCCAUCCAGGAGAGGGAAGAGACCCCGUCCCCACCCUGCAUUCUAGACUAACGCUGUGUCUGCUUGAUCAUUGUGGGCACCCGGUCAGAGAUGAACUUGUAGGCGGGUUUCCUACACUUGGUGACCUCCAACGUGCCUCUAUCCCUGUGGGUUCACCUAUGCUGGAUGUUUCAGAGGCAGAGCUCUGAGCAAGGCCUGGAAAGCAGAAUGCUGGUUGAGAAAUGUGAGAAAGAACUGUCCGUGCCGAACUGCCACAGUCACUGUCACGCUGAAGAGGGAGGCUGGGUGGCCUCGUCCUGGGCCUGUGCUUUGCUUCUUUGACCUGUGCCCGUUAUUUUGCAUAAGUACACACAGCGUAAUGGGCAGCAAAGAGGCCGUAAAGUGAUGGCGCUCACAUCUGGAACGCCUUCAUUUCAGAGAUCUUCGAGGAAUGAAUCGACGCUACCUUAUUUUUUGGCUGUGGUGAAACUGAUGCUAAUAUCUCACUUGAAUGAAUUGCAUGAACAUCUAUUAGAAUAAUCUUAUCCAGACAUCAUCUAAGAACAGAAAGCAACUGAUGAACACCUGCAACUACUGACGUGCUCCUGAGAGGAUGAAACUACUCCAGUUGGAGAGAAAGACCUUUGGAGUCCUGGACGGAUCUCUAGACAGGAACAUUUGACUCACAAUGAUAACCAAAUUUUUAAAAUCAUAGUUUUUAAUAAAAUGAGAAAUUCUGAAAUUUACAGUUGCCACCCGGAGGCGUGACUGCCUGCCUCACUGUGGUCUCCCCUCACUCCCUCUCCAAGCCCAACGGCACCAGGUGGUUGAAUCUGUAGAUUCCGAGGGUCGUUUAACCCACAGAAGAGGUUGUCUGGAGUGACCAUCCUGGCUUUUCCCCUGGAAACUCCGACUGGCGUUGAUCUUCCUGACACUCAAAGAGCAACACGUGGUCCAAGGAACACAUGGUCAAGUACUGAGCAGCAUUUCCAACAUUUACUUUCAGGCAAAUAGUCACUUAUAUACUUCUUUCUUUUCGCAAAGCCAUAGAAUAUUAUAAAACCAACAAUAAAAAACUUUAAGUUGCUUUAAAGAAAUGA